ensembl:lncRNA
CUCCUCCUCAGACUCGAUGCUCAAGUGGGUUGCCAGAUUGUGGACAGACAAAACACCAUCUGACUCAGCCUGAUACGCCCCAAACUCUCGCUAUUGGCUGCACAGAGUUGGAAUGUCUCACAAUCAGUCACACCCGGGUGUUAAAUUGUGACGAUGGACUUCAGCACGUCUGUCAGACCUGUUCACACACCAUCAUGGAAUCCCACACCCAUGAAGUCACUAACCAGGACCUGCUUAAAGAUGUAUUUCCCUUUACACAAACACAUGGGGGUGGCUAGUGGACUAUAUGUCAUCAGGAUCAGGUUUCAGAGGAUUCUGGACAAUGAUUGGAUAAGAGCACAGCAGAGGAAGAACAAGUUACUUUGGAGUGCAAAGGCUCCGAUGGAUUAAACAAUAAAAGCAGAAGCCACGAAUGGUGUCCA